UAAGUCCUGCCUCCCCUGGUUCCUUCCUUCAAUCUUUCCAUCCGGUUUCCCAAGUCGGGGCUCUGCCUCCCCUACAUCCCACCUUAUGCCAACCACAGAUGUUAAUUCCAGGAUGUGACUAAGACAAAGUCCGCUCAUCAUGGCUCGUCGCUGAUCCACUCCUGGCUGACUGCGUCCGGGAUCCAGGGCUCCAUCCCAGCCCCUGUCUCACUGCAUUUCUGGUCUCCAGUGGUGUCCCACCGGC